GUAGGUGGCAAGCGUUGUCCGGAAUUAUUGGGGCGUAAAGCGCGCGCAGGCGGUUUUUUAAGUCUGAUGUGAAAGCCCACGGCUCAACCGUGGAGGGGUCAUUGGAAACUGGAGAACUUGAGUGCAGAAGAGGAGAGCGGAAUUCCACGUGUAGCGGUGAAAUGCGUAGAGAUGUGGAGGAACACCAGUGGCGAAGGCGGCUCUCUGGUCUGUAACUGACGCUGAGGCGCGAAAGCGUGGGGAGCAAACAGGAUUAGAUACCCUGGUAGUCCACGCCGUAAACGAUGAGUGCUAAGUGUUAGAGGGUUUCCGCCCUUUAGUGCUGCAGCAAACGCAUUAAGCACUCCGCCUGGGGAGUACGGUCGCAAAGACUG
rnacentral:rRNA from 1 species